CCCACGAGGAGCCCGCUGUGCUGGCAGUGGGGAUACCGCUGGCCACGCCACUGGGAACCACAGGCCGAACCGCGCACGCCCAUUCCGCCCGCCGGCACCUACUCAGGUCCAAGAAUUGUGUAUGAUAGCGCAUUUCUUCUGCAGCUGAGAAACUCUCCAUUAUCACAGAAACCACCAAAAGACCUCGCAAGUUUUCCAAAUGACAUUGUUAAGGGGACUAAUGCCUCAUCCUCAGAGGAGACCCCCACAGGGUCGCAACUUUCUCCUUCACCUCCUAGUCAGCAGUGACCCUGCUGCAUGGCGAAAUAAAAACCAAACUCUGCAUUUAAAGCAUCUAUCAGUUUUGCUCUUAGUGUUAUUGACUUUGGUGUUAAGGAAAAGUUUUAGGGUUGAAAGGGGUGAAAUCUCUCCCAGAAGAGCAAUAUUGGAUUGUGUGUUCGAGGAAAAGUCCAACCACUUGUCUUAUAUUGCUUUACCUUUCUUUUCCUGUUAGCACUCGCACAGAUUGUAAAUAUUUACUCCUGUCAAUAAAAGACUAUUCUUUUGUUGUUUUACUUUUCUGUCAAGGUAACACACUUUUCAAACUGUUCUGCACCAUUUCCAUUGUUAGGUGUUAUGCUGUUACUAAGAUAAUUUAAUAAGAUCGAACUUCCAAUUUCAUUUUGUUGUUUAUGUUCUGUCGGUCAUAGCUACAUAUCUAUAAUGCAUAAAUAUAUUGUAAGCAAAUUGACAAGGAAGACAAUAAUUCGAAACUUUUGUAAAAUAUAUCCCAAGCUCCUAUGUAACAUAUAAAACAUGAGCGACAUUUAAACAUUUCUUAGAACUACAAACAUUUCACUCUUAAGAGUGAUACAAAAUUUCUUUUUCCCUUCUUUUGCCUUUUUUAGAAUUGGUUUUCGAACAUAAACAAAAACAGCCAAUGCUGAGGUGAAAUGAAUGUCGUCUAAUCUAUGAGGGAUAUUUUGGAAAAAAUAGACAAACACUGAUGUCAUAUGUGCAGUGAGAGCGUGGAAAGUAAGAGCAGAAAUUGCUUUUUCUGGCAAUCAUAUAUGGAACUGCAAAGUUUGUGUAGUU